GAUAAACGCUGGCGGCGUGCCUAACGCAUGCAAGUCGAACGGUCUCUCCCUUCGGGGGGAGGUAGUGGCAAACGGGUGAGUAACACGUGGGAAUGUGCCCUUGAGUGGGGAAUAACUCUCUGAAAGGAGAGCUAAUACCGCAUACGGUCGUAAGACUAAAGGAGAAAUCCGCUUAAGGAGCAGCCUGCGGCUGAUUAGCUAGUUGGUGGGGUAAAAGCCUACCAAGGCGAUGAUCAGUAGCUGGUCUGAGAGGAUGGACAGCCACACUGGGACUGAG
rnacentral:rRNA from 1 species